rnacentral:rRNA from 1 species
UACAGAGGUCUCAAGCGUUGUUCGGAUUCAUUGGGCGUAAAGGGUGCGUAGGCGGCGCGGUAAGUCGGGUGUGAAAUCUUGGAGCUUAACUCCGAAACUGCAUUCGAUACUGCGGUGCUUGAGGACUGGAGAGGAGACUGGAAUUCAUGGUGUAGCAGUGAAAUGCGUAGAGAUCAUGAGGAAGACCGUGGCGAAGGCGGGUCUCUGGACAGUUCCUGACACUGAGGCACGAAAGGCCCAGGGGGAGCAAAACGGGG